UCAACCACCAAGCCUGGCUUGUCGUUGGACCCUUUGUCGCCUGACGACAGGUCCGAAAGAUAAUGAACGGUGUCAUGGCGACCCUACAUGCAACGAGCUUGUAAAUAGCACGCAUUUGGUGGUCGUCUGGCCCGAUCGUCACCUUUUAAUUUUCUCCAGG
rnacentral:misc_RNA from 1 species